rnacentral:rRNA from 1 species
GGGGNNNNNCCUAUUUCCGAAUCCCCUUGAGUUGAUCAUGGCUCAGGACGAACGCUGGCGGCGUGCUUAACACAUGCAAGUCACGGGGGGUCGCAAGACCAACCGGCGAACGGGUGCGUAACACGUGAGCAACUUACCGAUUUGUGGGGGAUAGCCGGCCCAACGGCCGGGUAAUACCGCAUACGCUUCUCGAGGGACAUCCCUUGGGAAGGAAACCUCCGGGGCAAAUCGAGGGGCUCGCGGCCUAUCAGCUAGUUGGCGAGGUCAUGGCUCACCAAGGCGACGACGGGUAGCUGGUCUGAGAGGAUGGCCAGCCACAUUGGGACUGAGAAACGGCCCAGACUCCUACGGGAGGCAGCAGUGGGGAAUCUUGCGCAAUGGGCGAAAGCCUGACGCAGCGACGCCGCGCGGGGGAUGAAGGGUUUCGGCUUGUAAACCCCUGUUGCCCGGGACGAAACGCCACUUUCGAGUGGCUUGACGGUACCGGGUGAGGAAGCACCGGCUAACUCCGUGCCAGCAGCCGCGGUAAUACGGAGGGUGCGAGCGUUGUCCGGAAUCACUGGGCGUAAAGGGCGCGUAGGUGGCGAAGCAAGUCAACGGUGAAAGCUCGACGCUCAACGUCGAGUCGGCCGUCGAUACUGCAUCGCUUGAGCACUGUAGAGGCUAAUGGAAUUCCGGGUGUAGCGGUGGAAUGCGUAGAGAUCCGGAAGAACACCGGUGGCGAAGGCGGUUAGCUGGGCAGUUGCUGACACUGANGCGCGACAGCGUGGGGAGCAACAGGAUUAGA